AGCUUUUCAGUAGUUUACUACAGAAAAUGACUGAGCGGCGAACGGGUGAGUAACGCGUGAGCAACCUACCUUAGUUACUGGGAUAGCCCGAGGAAACUCGGAUUAAUACCGGAUAUUCUUAUUUAAUCACAUGAUUUUUUAAGGAAAGGUCAGCCGAACUAAGAUGGGCUCGCGUUCUAUCAGCUAGUUGGUAGGGUAAUGGCCUACCAAGGCUACGACGGAUAGCUGGUCUGAGAGGACGAUCAGCCACACUGGGACUGAGACACGGCCCAGACUCCUACGGGAGGCUGCAGCAGGGAAUAUUGCGCAAUGAGCGAAAGCUUGACGCAGCGACACCGCGUGUGGGAUGACGGAUCUAGGUUUGUAAACCACUUUCAGGAGGGAAGAAAAUGACGGUACCUCCACAAGAAGCCCCGGCCAACUACGUGCCAGCAGCCGCGGUAAUACGUAGGGGGCGAGCGUUGUCCGGAUUUAUUGGGCGUAAAGAGCUCGUAGGCGGUUCAACAAGUCGGUCGUGAAAGUUCAGGGCUCAACCCUGAAAUGUCGAUCGAUACUGUUGUGACUAGGAUACGGUAGAGGUGAGUGGAAUUCCGAGUGUAGCGGUGAAAUGCGUAGAUAUUCGGAGGAACACCAAUUGCGAAGGCAGCUCACUGGGCCGCUAUCGACGCUGAGGAGCGAAAGCUAGGGGAGCAAACAGGAUUAGAUACCCUGGUAGUCCUAGCUGUAAACGAUGGAUACUAGACGUAGGAUUGGAUUAACGAUUUCUGUGUCGUAGCUAACGCGUUAAGUAUCCCGCCUGGGGAGUACGGUCGCAAGACUAAAAC
rnacentral:rRNA from 1 species